rnacentral:rRNA from 1 species
UACGAAGGGGGCUAGCGUUGUUCGGAAUUACUGGGCGUAAAGCGCACGUAGGCGGAUAUUUAAGUCAGGGGUGAAAUCCCGGGGCUCAACCCCGGAACUGCCUUUGAUACUGGGUAUCUCGAGUCCGAGAGAGGUGAGUGGAAUUCCGAGUGUAGAGGUGAAAUUCGUAGAUAUUCGGAGGAACACCAGUGGCGAAGGCGGCUCACUGGCUCGGUACUGACGCUGAGGUGCGAAGGCGUGGGGAGCAAACAGG